rnacentral:rRNA from 1 species
AGAGAGAGACAUGCGCGCAUAUCAAUAAGCGGAGGAAAAGAAACUAACAAGGAUUCCCCUAGUAACGGCGAGUGAAGCGGGAAGAGCUCAAAUUUGAAAUCUUAAAGGGUUUCCCUUUACGAAUUGUAGUUUAAGAAGUGUUUUCUGUUGAGGUUUUGGUAAAAGUUCUUUGGAAUAGGACAUCAUAGAGGGUGAGAAUCCCGUAUUUGACCUUUACUUUCAACUUUGUGAUACACUUUCAAAGAGUCGGAUUGUUUGGGAAUGCAGUCCAAAAUGGGUGGUAAAUUUCAUCUAAAGCUAAAUAUUGGCGAGAGACCGAUAGCGAACAAGUACCGUGAGGGAAAGAUGAAAAGAACUUUGAAAAGAGAGUUAAACAGUACGUGAAAUUGUCAAAAGGGAAGCGUUUGACACCAGUGUUGUUUUUCUGAAAAUCAAUUAAAGAACUGUUUAUGCUAAGUUGUUUAGACUUUAUCAGCUAACUGUUUAGUUUUGAGCUUUUCUUUAAUGCACUUUUCAGUUAACAAGUCAACAUCAAUUUCUUUUGCUGUAAAAAAGCUUGAGGAAGGUGGCUUGAGAUUCGUCUUAAGUGUUUAUAGCCUCUUGCCUAUGCAGUCGGAGAGAUUGAGGUCUGCAGCGUAGAUCCUUCGGGGCUAAAUGCAUUUGUGCUAAGUUAUAGCAUUUUAUAGACAACUUGUUGACUAUGAUUUGUCUUGUAGCUUACUCGCUUAUGUUAUUUUACCUACGCUUAGGAUGUUGAAGACUCUACAGAGAUA